rnacentral:rRNA from 1 species
AUAUCAAUAAGCGGAGGAAAAGAAACCAACAGGGAUUGCCUUAGUAGCGGCGAGUGAAGCGGCAAUAGCUCAAAUUUGAAAUCUGGCACCUUCGGUGUCCGAGUUGUAAUUUGAAGAAGGUAUCUUUGGUUUUGGCUCUUGUCUAUGUUCCUUGGAACAGGACGUCACAGAGGGUGAGAAUCCCGUGCGAUGAGAUGCCCAAUUCCAUGUAAAGUUCCUUCGACGAGUCGAGUUGUUUGGGAAUGCAGCUCUAAGUGGGUGGUAAAUUCCAUCUAAAGCUAAAUAUUGGCGAGAGACCGAUAGCGAACAAGUACUGUGAAGGAAAGAUGAAAAGAACUUUGAAAAGAGAGUGAAAAAGUACGUGAAAUUGUUGAAAGGGAAGGGCUUGAGGUCAGACUUGGUUUUACCAGGCCAGCAUCAGUUUGGAUGGCAGGAUAAUAGCUUAGGAAUGUGGCACUGCUUCGGUAGUGUGUUAUAGCCUGGGUUGAUACUGCCUGUCUAGACUGAGGACUGCGUCUUUGACUAGGAUGCUGGCAUAAUGACCUUAAGCCGCCCGUCUUGAAACACGG